CCUACGGGAGGCAGCAGUGGGGAAUAUUGGACAAUGGGCGCAAGCCUGAUCCAGCCAUGCCGCGUGGGUGAAGAAGGCCUUCGGGUUGUAAAGCCCUUUUGUUGGGAAAGCGGUACCCAAAGAAUAAGCACCGGCUAACUUCGUGCCAGCAGCCGCGGUAAUACGAAGGGUGCAAGCGUUACUCGGAAUUACUGGGCGUAAAGCGUGCGUAGGUGGUUUGUUAAGUCUGAUGUGAAAGCCCUGGGCUCAACCUGGGAAUUGCAUUGGAUACUGGCAGGCUAGAGUGCGGUAGAGGGUAGUGGAAUUCCCGGUGUAGCAGUGAAAUGCGUAGAGAUCGGGAGGAACAUCCGUGGCGAAGGCGACUACCUGGACCAGACUGACACUGAGGCACGAAAGCGUGGGGAGCAAACAGGAUUAGAUACCCUUGUAGUC
rnacentral:rRNA from 1 species